AUGCCACGAUGAUGUCAUUUUUGUAACAACUCCUUAAACCGCUCCCAUGCCUCACAGAAAGAUUCUUCAUCAAGUUGCUGAAAUGAAGUAAUAUCAUUGCGGAGCUU